UGGUGACCAAUGUGUCCCCCAGGAUCGUACGAGGGACCACCUCGGGGCCCAUGUUUGGACCAGGCCAGGGCUCUUUCCUCAACAUCGAGCUGAUCAGCGAGAAGACGGCUGCCUACUGGUGUCAGAGCGUCACCGAGCUCAAAGCUGACUUCCCCAACAAUAUCCUUAUAUCCAGCAUCAUGUGUGGCUACAACAAAGCUGACUGGACCGAGCUUGCCAAGAUGGCAGAGCUCUCGCUACUCUCUCCUCCCUCGGUUGCCUCUUUCUCUCGCAGCUGUCUCCUCUCUUCCCUCCUUCUCUCCGUUUUUGCCUUCUGUUUCUCUCUCUUUCUCUCGACUUUAUGCUCUCUCUUCUCCCUUGCAUCCAUCUCUCUUUCUCUCUCUCCCCCAACUUUUUCCUCCCCUCCCUGACAUCUCUCUCUUCCUCUCUUGUCUCUCUCACCCCCCAACGUUUUCCUCCCCUCCCUCUCCUCUCUUCCUUUCACUCCUCGACAUCUCUCUCUUCCUCUUUCUCCUCGUGUUCCCCCAGCUUUCUCAUCUCCCUCCUGCAUCCUCUGCCCAGGGCUGGUGUGUCUCUCCUGGCCUCAGUCCUGUAAGGAUGGGGUCCGUAGCCACGGUCCUCCAGAGAGACUGACAGGCAGCACACAGACCCUCGCUUCCCUUAUCAACGUCCAGGCUUGCUAAUCCAUGAC